UACGGAGGGUGCAAGCGUUAUCCGGAUUCACUGGGUUUAAAGGGUGCGUAGGCGGCCAACUAAGUCAGACGUGAAAUCCCUCGGCUUAACCGGGGAACUGCAUCUGAUACUGGAUGGCUUGAGUUCGGGAGAGGGAUGCGGAAUUCCAGGUGUAGCGGUGAAAUGCGUAGAUAUCUGGAGGAACACCGGUGGCGAAGGCGGCAUCCUGGACCAAUAUUGACGCUGAGGAGCGAAAGCCAGGGGAGCAAACGGG
rnacentral:rRNA from 1 species